AGGAAUGCGACAAGGAGGAAAGCUGAAUAGAGUCACAUGGGUGUGAGAGAGGAGUCCGCGCAGUAUUCUACUUACGAGUGGUAGACAGAAUACCAAAUGGCAGGACAAAAGAACACAGAAGACAAGCGCGUGUCUGAAAAGACAAAAGAGUCAUUAAAGUUCCAAAGACAAGAACAGGAGUGAUUAGCUAAUCCUAUAUUCCGUUUCAAAGAAGGUUGUAACUGAAUUGAGACGAUUUUCAUCAACGUUAAACAGUUUCGAAGAGAGUUUUUCAAAUAUGGAUGGGGUUUUUUUUAUCGUAAGCUUGCAAAUUAAUCCAAUUUGUUCCUCCUCAUAAGUUGACCAAAGAUAUAGGGACAGGAUGUAAUGUCAGAUAUCCUCUGAAUUAGUGUGGCGGUUUUGAUCAUGAAUAACUUGAAAUAAUUGUCUGCUUGUUUCUACGUUUACCGUUAAGUGUUCCUCUACAGCCUAGAUUCUAUGGAUUCUUCGUCUUCAUCUUCGGAACAGCAACAACGAGCAUCUCAAUAAAAACGUUUUGCUAACUGGAUAAUAUCGAUAGCGAUCGCUAAUUUUCCUAUUCUAUGAAGAAACAUUUUAUCCUUUUUUCGUAAGUAAGUUUACACAUUUACACACUGUCAUAUCAGACCCAUUACCUCGAUUCCACAGUGUGUCGUUCAACUGUUAGUAAGUUUGUUGAACGACUUGAACAAGUUUUAAAGAGUGUAUAAGAUUUGUUGUGUUCCACCAUUUGUAAAACUUGCUUUUAAUGUGUGACCUCUGAGUGAACAAUAAAAAU